GACGAAGGAUGCAAGCGUUAUCCGGAUUCAUUGGGUUUAAAGGGAGCGUAGGCGGCCAGAUAAGUCAGUGGUGAAAUCCUGUUGCUUAACAACAGAACUGCCAUUGAUACUGUUUGGCUUGAGUACAGUUGCUGUGGGCGGAAUAUGACAUGUAGUGGUGAAAUACAUAGAGAUGUCAUAGAACACCGAUUGCGAAGGCAGCUCACAAAACUGUAACUGACGCUGAGGCUCGAAAGUGCGGGGAUCAAACAGG
rnacentral:rRNA from 1 species